GAUGAACGCUGGCGGCGUGCCUAAUACAUGCAAGUCGAGCGAACAGACGAGGAGCUUGCUCCUCUGACGUUAGCGGCGGACGGGUGAGUAACACGUGGAUAACCUACCUAUAAGACUGGGAUAACUUCGGGAAACCGGAGCUAAUACCGGAUAAUAUAUUGAACCGCAUGGUUCCAUAGUGAAAGACGGUUUUGCUGUCACUUAUAGAUGGAUCCGCGCCGCAUUAGCUAGUUGGUAAGGUAACGGCUUACCAAGGCGACGAUGCGUAGCCGACCUGAGAGGGUGAUCGGCCACACUAGAACUGAGACACGGUCCAGACUCCUACGGGAGGCAGCAGUAGGGAAUCUUCCGCAAUGGGCGAAAGCCUGACGGAGCAACGCCGCGUGAGUGAUGAAGGUCUUCGGAUCGUAAAACUCUGUUAUUAGGGAAGAACAAAUGUGUAAGUAACUAUGCACGUCUUGACGGUACCUAAUCAGAAAGCCACGGCUAACUACGUG
rnacentral:rRNA from 1 species